ACUCCUACGGGAGGCAGCAGUGGGGAAUAUUGCACAAUUGGCGCAAGCCUGAUGCAGCCAUGCCGCGUGUGUGAAGAAGGCCUUCGGGUUGUAAAGCACUUUCAGUUGUGAGGAAAGGUUAGUCGCUAAUAUCGGUAGCUGUGACGUAGCAACAGAAGAAGCACCGGCUAACUCCGUGCCAGCAGCCGCGGUAAUACGGAGGGUGCGAGCGUUAAUCGGAAUUACUGGGCGUAAAGCGCGUGUAGGUGGCUUGUUAAGCCAGAUGUGAAAGCCCCGGGCUCAACCUGGGAACUGCAUUUGGAAACUGGCAGGCUAGAGUUUUGUAGAGGGUGGUANAAUUUCAGGUGUAGCGGUGAAAAUGCGUAGAGAUCUGAAGGAAC
rnacentral:rRNA from 1 species